AUGGGGAAUAGCAGCUCCAGGCCAAGGAUUUGCCAAGUUGCACCAUCUCAUUGUCAACCAAUGGCAAAUGAACCUUCUCUGUUUCCAUCUUCAUCAUGGAUGAUCACUGCUGUUAAAGGUGCAGAGAUACAAGAGAAAGGGAUUGUGGGACAGAGGAAUACAAACCAUCUGCUGCCUCUGACAGGAAGACACAAAAUACCUAAUUCUGUUAAUUUAAAACCAGGAUCUCAGAGUGUCUGUGAUAAAACUUGUCACAGCAUUAUUAAGUCUCACCCACCACAACCAGCAAAGGAAUGGCAAUCAAUGACCCUUGCCAUAAGGGCUGAGGUGAAUCCUGUCAAACAUGCAUGCGUGGCAUACAAAUCCACAGAAUUUCAGGACAGGGAGUCAAGAAAUGGGCCUGUCCACUGCUAUUCCAAUCCCAUCCUGGGAGGGCACUGUGGCAGAAGCAAAACACUACAGGGACACAUGAAAGGUCUCCUGCGGGCACAGACGAUGCUCAGUCGCCAAGCAACCAAGAAGUGGCAAGCUCAGCAGAGGUGCUUUAGGGAAAGUCGAGGGAAACAGAAGAGGGUAUACACCACUUAUCUGGAAGGAGAUGUGAUGGAAGGAAGACAGAGGGUUCGGCUUGUGUCCAGGCCAAUGCAACAAAACAUCUUCUGGGAUGAGUCUGAAGGACGGCUUCUGGAUGUAAGGGAGCUGCUGCAGCCAAGUCCACAGUUGACAGACCAAAACAUGGGAGACACAAUGAGUGACAAACCACUAAUUGAAAAUGGAAUUCCGCCAGAGGUAAAAGACCAGAAAUGUAGAGGUCUGGGGAAGGAAUGUUGUCACAAGAACUCUCCAAGGAGUAGAACAGAUCUGGACAGUGGUUUGACAGAAACUGUGCAAAGGCCUUGCAAUGCAAACGUGAAGUUACCUUGGCAUACUGAAAACGAGCAUGGACAUUACUCUGGUUUAUCCAGGAAAAUCUAUCUACAGGAAGAAUGGGAAAUUAAAAAGAGGCCUUUGUUACAGGCAGACUCUGAAAAGCACAGUUAG
ensembl:lncRNA